GACGAACGCUGGCGGCGUGCUUAACACAUGCAAGUCGAGCGGUAAGGCCCCUUCGGGGGUACACGAGCGGCGAACGGGUGAGUAACACGUGAGCAAUCUGCCCAUCACAUCGGGAUAACUCCGGGAAACCGAAGCUAAUACCGAAUACGACCACCUCCGGCAUCGGAUGGUGGUGGAAAGUUCCGGCGGUGAUGGAUGAGCUCGCGGCCUAUCAGCUUGUUGGUGGGGUAACGGCCCACCAAGGCUUCGACGGGUAGCCGGCCUGAGAGGGUGACCGGCCACACUGGGACUGAGACACGGCCCAGACUCCACGGGAGGCAGCAGUGGGGAAUAUUGGACAAUGGGCGAAAGCCUGAUCCAGCAACGCCGCGUGAGGGAUGACGGCCUUCGGGUUGUAAACCUCUUUCAGCAGGGACGAAGCGCAAGUGACGGUACCUGCAGAAGAAGCACCGGCCAACUACGUG
rnacentral:rRNA from 1 species